AGAGUUUGAUCCUGGCUCAGGAUGAACGCUGACAGAAUGCUUAACACAUGCAAGUCGAUGGGGAAGUGGUGCUUGCACCAUGGUAACCAUGGCGGACGGGUGAGUAACGCGUAAGGGACUUACCUGCAGGACUGGGAUAACAGGGGGAAACUCCUGACAAGACCGGAUAAUGUCAUGGAGCUGCAUGGCUUUAUGAUUAAAGGAGACGCCUGCGGAGAGCCUUGCGUCCUAUUAGCUAGUUGGUGAGGUAAGGGCUCACCAAGGCGAAGAUAGGUAGCCGGCCUGAGAGGGUGGACGGCCACAAGGGGACUGAGAUACGGCCCUUACUCCUACGGGAGGCAGCAGUGGGGAAUAUUGGACAAUGGGGGCAACCCUGAUCCAGCAAUUCUGUGUGCACGAAGAAGGUUUUCGGAUUGUAAAGUGCUUUCAGCAGGGAAGAAGGAAGUGACGGUACCUGCAGAAGAAGCGACGGCUAAAUACGUGCCAGCAGCCGCGGUAAUACGUAUGUCGCGAGCGUUAUCCGGAAUUAUUGGGCAUAAAGGGCAUCUAGGCGGCCUGACAAGUCAGGGGUGAAAACCUGCGGCUCAACCGCAGGCCUGCCUUUGAAACUGUUAGGCUGGAGUACCGGAGAGGUGGACGGAACUGCACGAGUAGAGGUGAAAUUCGUAGAUAUGUGCAGGAAUGCCGAUGAUGAAGAUAGUUCACUGGACGGUAACUGACGCUGAAGUGCGAAAGCCGGGGGAGCAAACAGGAUUAGAUACCCUGGUAGUCCCGGCUGUAAACGAUGAUUACUGGGUGUGGGCAGGAAGACUGUCUGUGCCGAAGCAAAUGCGAUAAGUAAUCCGCCUGGGGAGUACGGCCGCAAGGCUGAAACUCAAAGGAAUUGACGGGGACCCGCACAAGCGGUGGAGCAUGU
rnacentral:rRNA from 1 species